CGAGGAUGAGAACCUCCGGGGGCAAGAGGUUCGACUCGAGCGAAGCGAGAGAACGUUGCGUCAGCAACGGCCCGCAGUGGCAAGUCAUCCUCUGUCACCGGCAG
rnacentral:sRNA from 3 species